rnacentral:rRNA from 1 species
AACGAACGCUGGCGGCAGGCUUAACACAUGCAAGUCGAGCGCCCCGCAAGGGGAGCGGCAGACGGGUGAGUAACGCGUGGGAAUCUACCCAUCUCUACGGAAUAACGCAUGGAAACGUGUGCUAAUACCGUAUACGUCCUUCGGGAGAAAGAUUUAUCGGAGAUGGAUGAGCCCGCGUUGGAUUAGCUAGUUGGUGGGGUAAAGGCCUACCAAGGCGACGAUCCAUAGCUGGUCUGCGAGGAUGAUCAGCCACACUGGGACUGAGACACGGCCCAGACUCCUACGGGAGGCAGCGGUGGGGAAUAUUGUACAAUGGGCGCAAGCCUGAUCCAGCCAUGCCGCGUGAGUGAUGAAGGCCCUAGGGUUGUAAAGCUCUUUCACCGGUGAAGAUAAUGACGGUAACCGGAGAAGAAGCCCCGGCUAACUUCGUGCCAGCCGCCGCGGUAAGAC